ACUCCUACGGGAGGCAGCAGUAGGGAAUCUUCCGCAAUGGACGAAAGUCUGACGGAGCAACGCCGCGUGAGUGAUGAAGGCUUUCGGGUCCGUAAAACUCUGUUGUUAGGGAAGAACAAGUGCUAGUUGAAUAAGCUGGCACCUUGACGGUACCUAACCAGAAAGCCACGGCUAACUACGUGCCAGCAGCCGCGGUAAUAA
rnacentral:rRNA from 1 species